AAUGUGAUUUUGGUAUAUACAUACUUUACUUAUUGAUUGAUUGAUUGAUUGAAUUGCCUGUUGGAAAUCUUCCAUCAUCGCUUCAAUACUAUUGAUCAGCUGCUCUGUUUAUCAUUUUUGACAAUGAACGAUGUCAUUUUACACAAUUGUACAACAAGACACAAUGUUUGAGAAAAUUUCGUUGGAAAUGAAGCCGAAAGCCCAAAAAGAUACCAAUCUUAAAGGAUGUCUCUGGAGGAUACAGAUGGAGAACGAGUGUAUAGAGUUGUAGAGAUCAACUUUUCAUAAAUUCAAUUAAUUCUGACCCAUGGCACACAUAACAGAAGAAACAUCAAAAGUUAUAAAACUUCCUCCAGUUUUUUUCUGAAAGUUUUUUUUUUGGCCAUCAACAUAAUUUUUGCUUCAUCGUAUUCACAUUGGGAAAUUUGCUGCCAAGAAAAUCAUGUAAAUACUAUACUGAGCUAGAGAUGUAUAGAAGAAACAUCUCAGAGAAGGGUGUGGUUACUCUAAAUCGUUCAAGUAUCGUGUCCUUUUUGGCAAGAAAAAGCUGUUUCUGUAUUUAUACUAUAUAUCCAUAUAAACCACCCACAUCUACUGUAUACAAUCUAUUCAUAUUGUGUUCUAGAUAAGUUCUAAUUGAUGAUGACUUAAAAGAAGGACUAUUAUGAUAUUUUACAUGAUGAUGGGUUCCGAGGAGUUGCCAGACGAUUAAGAUUGAAAGACUAUGGGGGAUGUGGUUGGGAAUAUAUAGAGGAUGUCAUAUAUCAUAUGUCAUCAUCAUCAUCAUCCUUAUGACAAACAAUCGUUGACCUCACACAAGACAAGAAUAUGUGCGGGAAGUUGUUAUUGUGUCGUUGAAGAAACUUUUCGAAACUUUGAAAAUUUUGUGAAACUUUUAAGAGCCCGUACAUCACAAAGUUUUAAUCAGUUUUUUUUAAACAAUUUGCAUAUUAAGAUAUAUCAUAAACUUUAAUUUAUUAUAAAUUAUGCGUGAUGAAAUUAAAAAAAAUAUGUAA